rnacentral:lncRNA from 1 species
AGCUGGGUCGUACUAUGGUGUGCUGUAUUAUGGGGCUGUGUCUAUGGGGCUGAAGCUCUAUCUAUGGGCUGAGCCUCUACCUAAUAUGGGGCUUAUCUCUCUAUGGGUCCUGCCCCACACUUGUAGGGUCUGUCGACAUCCUGGUGAGGCAUGGUGAGCUGACUGCCAAGUGUAGUGUUAUGGGCUGGGGUCUAUCUAUCUAUAGGGCUGGGGGCUCUAUCUAUAGGGCUGGGUUCUAUCUAUGGGGCUGAGCUGUAUCUAUGGGUCCUGCCCCACACUUGUAGGUCUGUCUGACAUCCCGGGUGAGGCCAUGGUGAAGCUGUAUUGCCCCAAGUGUUGUGUCUAUGGGGCUGGGGGCUCUAUCUAUCUAUGGGGCUGGGGGCUCUAUAUGGCUAUAACUAUCUAUGGGUCUUGCCACACUAUGUAGGUCUGGCUCUAGACAUCCGGUUGAGGCCAUGUGAGCUGUACUCAAGUGUUGUUUAUGGGGCUGGGGGCUCUAUCUAUUAUGGGGCU